rnacentral:rRNA from 1 species
UACGUAGGGUGCGAGCGUUAAUCGGAAUUACUGGGCGUAAAGCGUGCGCAGGCGGUUCGUUGUGUCCGGCGUGAAAGCCCCGGGCUUAACCUGGGAACUGCGUUUGAAACUGGGAGACUAGAGUGUGGCAGAGGGGGGUGGGAUUCCACGUGUAGCAGUGAAAUGCGUAGAUAUGUGGAGGAACACCGAUGGCGAAGGCAGCCCCCUGGGCUAACACUGACGCUCAUGCACGAAAGCGUGGGGAGCAAACAGG